UACGGAGGGAGCUAGCGUUGUUCGGAAUUACUGGGCGUAAAGCGCACGUAGGCGGCUUUGCAAGUUAGAGGUGAAAGCCCGGGGCUCAACCCCGGAACUGCCUUUGAUACUGGGUAUCUCGAGUCCGAGAGAGGUGAGUGGAAUUCCGAGUGUAGAGGUGAAAUUCGUAGAUAUUCGGAGGAACACCAGUGGCGAAGGCGGCUCACUGGCUCGGUACUGACGCUGAGGUGCGAAAGCGUGGGGAGCAAACAGGG
rnacentral:rRNA from 1 species